GAAUUGCGAAAAUUAAUGUGAAUCGCGGGGAUCGAGAAACAUCAAGUCUUUGAACGCAGGAUGCACUGGGCCACGAUAGUCCAGUAUGGAUGGAUGAGGAUUUUUACAGGGCCAAGUAUCUGGGGGUAUCCUGGGUAUCUGGGAAGGUGCGGCGCGGCGUCUCUCUCCAGAAGAUCAGAAGAUGGCCCGCUGUUAAAUAAAUUAGGCAUGGAGAAUCAAAGGGGGAGUCAAUUCGGAAAAAGGCAGUUAUUUGUCACGGGUUUCCCCCCCAGCCACAACUCCACAGCUCAAAUGCAGUGAAUAUACACUGAACUGAACGCACCAUCAAACAAAAUCUCAUCUCAUCUAGGAUCACCCGCUGAACUUAA
rnacentral:misc_RNA from 1 species